rnacentral:lncRNA from 1 species
UUCCCCAUAAGAAAACCACUGUGUGCAAGAAGCAGUCAUUCAUCGGAUUUUGUUCCUCCUUUUCUGCAGGAAAGCUGCUGAAAGCUAGCGCCACAGACGUCAGAGACCCUGCGCAAACGCCCUGGAGCUUUCCCUGACGGCCGGGGGGUCUUCGCUCAGCGGCACCCAUAGCUCUCCUCACACUAGUUUCUCUCAAACCUCCGCUCCUCCGACAUUCCGCCCCGCCGCCUCCUCCAGGAAGUCCUCGGCGCGGUGCACUGGGACCACCUGCUACGGCCAUGAAACCUGGGCUCAGUCUCUUCGGGUUCCCAGGCUCGACCAGGAGUCCCCUCCCUUGGCGAGCCCCACCAGAGAAAAAGGUCCCCUGACCCGGCCUCAGGAACGUCCUGGGCGAUUUCGCCCACCCACGCGCACGGGCCGGGCUCCGAGUCCCUACCAGCGUCCAUUCUAGGACUGCGGUUUGCAGCUCGCUGGUCGGGACAGGAGCGCGGCGGCCUUGCGUUUGCCAGGACCAAUCAACAGCAGAAGAAGCCCCAAUUCUGUCAUGUGACCGCAAGGCCCCGCCCCACUUCAUCUGACUCUCACCGGCGUCCGGCAGCGGGUUUUCGGCUUCUUUGAUCCCGCAGGGUGGCUGGGUCCUACGUCCUCCUGGGUAUCUUUUUGGUCUGGGGAACCCAGGGACGUUUUACAACGGAGCUGAAUCCCUAGUUCUUUUUAUUCUGGAAACAGAAUCUUCCUAAGUUACCGAGGGUCUCGCUAAAUUGCUGAGACUGGCUCGAACUUGGGAUCCUCCUGCCUCAGCCUUUGGAGUACCUGGGAUUACAAGAAUAAAGGGUGCAAACCACGCCUGGCUGAAAACUUCAUUUUUCAGAAUUGCCAAACUGCUUAAUUUUAGGAUUGGCCACAUAAAUUUGCAUGAGACAUCGAGCGUCAAGCAUAUUUGAGCUUAGAAGUUG